ACCAUAUCAUGUUGAAACACUGGUUCCUGUGCGAUCACCGAAGUUAAGCCACAACGAAACUAAUCCGUACCUGGAUGGGUGACCGCUUGGUAAUACCAGAUGAUGUAAU